AUUGAACGCUGGCGGCAUGCCUUACACAUGCAAGUCGAACGGUAACAGGUCUUCGGAUGCUGACGAGUGGCGAACGGGUGAGUAAUGCAUCGGAACGUGCCCAGUCGUGGGGGAUAACGCAGCGAAAGCUGCGCUAAUACCGCAUACGAUCUAUGGAUGAAAGCGGGGGACCGUAGGGCCUCGCGCGAUUGGAGCGGCCGAUGUCAGAUUAGGUAGUUGGUGGGGUAAAGGCCCACCAAGCCAACGAUCUGUAGCUGGUCUGAGAGGACGGCCAGCCACACUGGGACUGAGACACGGCCCAGACUCCUACGGGAGGCAGCAGUGGGGAAUUUUGGACAAUGGGCGCAAGCCUGAUCCAGCAAUGCUGCGUGCAGGAAGAAGGCCUUCGGGUUGUAAACUGCUUUUGUACGGAACGAAACGGUCCUGGUUAAUACCCGGGGCUAAUGACGGUACCGUAAGAAUAAGCACCGGCUAACUACGUGCCAGCCGCCGCAGUAAUAC
rnacentral:rRNA from 1 species